CACUAUCGUUAACUGAAUACAUAGGUUAACGAGGCGAACCGGGGGAACUGAAACAUCUAAGUACCCCGAGGAAAAGAAAUCAACCGAGAUUCCCCCAGUAGCGGCGAGCGAACGGGGAGCAGCCCAGAGUCUGAAUCAGCUUGUGUGUUAGUGGAACGGUCUGGAAAGUCCGACGGUACAGGGUGAUAGUCCCGUACACCAAAAUGCACAGGUUGUGAACUCGAAGAGUAGGGCGGGACACGUGGUAUCCUGUCUGAAUAUGGGGGGACCAUCCUCCAAGGCUAAAUACUCCUGACUGACCGAUAGUGAACCAGUACCGUGAGGGAAAGGCGAAAAGAACCCCGGCGAGGGGAGUGAAAAAGAACCUGAAACCGUGUACGUACAAGCAGUGGGAGCACCUUCGGGUGUGACUGCGUACCUUUUGUAUAAUGGGUCAGCGACUUAUAUUCUGUAGCAAGGUUAACCGUAUAGGGGAGCCGCAGGGAAACCGAGUCUUAACUGGGCGUUAAGUUGCAGGGUAUAGACCCGAAACCCGGUGAUCUAGCCAUGGGCAGGUUGAAGGUUGGGUAACACUAACUGGAGGACCGAACCGACUAAUGUUGAAAAAUUAGCGGAUGACUUGUGGCUGGGGGUGAAAGGCCAAUCAAACCGGGAGAUAGCUGGUUCUCCCCGAAAGCUAUUUAGGUAGCGCCUCGUGAACUCAUCUUCGGGGGUAGAGCACUGUUUCGGCUAGGGGGUCAUCCCGACUUACCAACCCGAUGCAAACUACGAAUACCGAAGAAUGUUAUCACGGGAGACACACGGCGGGUGCUAACGUCCGUCGUGAAGAGGGAAACAACCCAGACCGCCAGCUAAGGUCCCAAAGUCAUGGUUAAGUGGGAAACGAUGUGGGAAGGCACAGACAGCCAGGAUGUUGGCUUAGAAGCAGCCAUCAUUUAAAGAAAGCGUAAUAGCUCACUGGUCGAGUCGGCCUGCGCGGAAGAUGUAACGGGGCUAAACCAUGCACCGAAGCUGCGGCAGCGACGCUUAUGCGUUGUUGGGUAGGGGAGCGUUCUGUAAGCCUGCGAAGGUGGCCUGUGAGGGUUGCUGGAGGUAUCAGAAGUGCGAAUGCUGACAUAAGUAACGAUAAAGCGGGUGAAAAGCCCGCUCGCCGGAAGACCAAGGGUUCCUGUCCAACGUUAAUCGGGGCAGGGUGAGUCGACCCCUAAGGCGAGGCCGAAAGGCGUAGUCGAUGGGAAACAGGUUAAUAUUCCUGUACUUGGUGUUACUGCGAAGGGGGGACGGAGAAGGCUAUGUUAGCCGGGCGACGGUUGUCCCGGUUUAAGCAUGUAGGCGGAGGUUCCAGGUAAAUCCGGUACCUUUUAACGCUGAGGUGUGAUGACGAGGCACUACGGUGCUGAAGUAACAAAUGCCCUGCUUCCAGGAAAAGCCUCUAAGCAUCAGGUAACAUUAAAUCGUACCCCAAACCGACACAGGUGGUCAGGUAGAGAAUACCAAGGCGCUUGAGAGAACUCGGGUGAAGGAACUAGGCAAAAUGGUGCCGUAACUUCGGGAGAAGGCACGCUGGUGUGUAGGUGAAGUCCCUGCGGAUGGAGCUGAGACCAGUCGAAGAUACCAGCUGGCUGCAACUGUUUAUUAAAAACACAGCACUGUGCAAACACGAAAGUGGACGUAUACGGUGUGACGCCUGCCCGGUGCCGGAAGGUUAAUUGAUGGGGUUAUCCGUAAGGAGAAGCUCUUGAUCGAAGCCCCGGUAAACGGCGGCCGUAACUAUAACGGUCCUAAGGUAGCGAAAUUCCUUGUCGGGUAAGUUCCGACCUGCACGAAUGGCGUAAUGAUGGCCAGGCUGUCUCCACCCGAGACUCAGUGAAAUUGAACUCGCUGUGAAGAUGCAGUGUACCCGCGGCAAGACGGAAAGACCCCGUGAACCUUUACUAUAGCUUGACACUGAACAUUGAGCCUUGAUGUGUAG
rnacentral:rRNA from 1 species